AGACCGAGCACGYGUCAUCCAUCCUGCCGACGACGAGCAUCGUUCGUUGCUCGGCAAAUUCCUCGAACACCUCCUCUCCUCGGAGUGGGGGAUCGGGGUAAAAGAACCCACGGCGCCAAAGGCGUCAAGGAACACUGUGCCAAGCUCGGGGAUGCGGCUGGCUUGCUGGCUGCCCCCCGUGCUGCAAUGCUAUUUAAUCCACAUGACUCUCGGCAACGGAUAUCUCGGCUCUCGCAUCGAUGAAGAACGUAGCGAAAUGCGAUACCUGGUGUGAAUUGCAGAAUCCCGCGAACCAUCGAGUCUUUGAACGCAAGUUGCGCCCGAGGCCUUUCGGCUGAGGGCACGCCUGCCUGGGCGUCACGCAAAACACGCUCCCACACCCCCUCAUUUGGGAAUGGGAUGCGGCAUGUGGCCCCCCGCCACGCAAGGGGCGGUGGGCCGAAGAUAUGGCUGCCGGCGUAUCGUGUCGGACACAGCGCGUGGUGGGCGUCCUCGCUUUACUUACCGCAGUGCAUCCGGCUUGUAGCCGGCGUGAUGGCCAGAAAGGACCC
rnacentral:misc_RNA from 1 species